rnacentral:rRNA from 1 species
AUUGAACGCUGGCGGCAGGCCUAACACGUGCAAGUCGAGCGGAUGAAGGGAGCUUGCUCCUGGAUUCAGCGGCGGACGGGUGAGUAAUGCCUAGGAAUCUGCCUGGUAGUGGGGGAUAACGUCUGGAAACGGGCGCUAAUACCGCAUACGUCCUGAGGGAGAAAGUGGGGGAUCUUCGGACCUCACGCUAUCAGAUGAGCCUAGGUCGGAUUAGCUAGUUGGUGGGGUAAAGGCCUACCAAGGCGACGAUCCGUAACUGGUCUGAGAGGAUGAUCAGUCACACUGGAACUGAGACACGGUCCAGACUCCUACGGGAGGCAGCAGUGGGGAAUAUUGGACAAUGGGCGAAAGCCUGAUCCAGCCAUGCCGCGUGUGUGAAGAAGGUCUUCGGAUUGUAAAGCACUUUAAGUUGGGAGGAAGGGCAGUAAGUUAAUACCUUGCUGUUUUGACGUUACCAACAGAAUAAGCACCGGCUAACUUCGUG